UGGAGGGCAAGUCUGGUGCCAGCAGCCGCGGUAAUUCCAGCUCCAAUAGCGUAUAUUAAAGUUGUUGCAGUUAAAAAGCUCGUAGUUGAAUUUCGGGGUCAGUAGGCUGGUCGUGCCACAGGUAUGUACUGGUCUCACUGAUUCCUCCUUCCUGAUGAACCGUAAUGCCAUUAAUUUGGUGUUGCGGGGAAUCUGGACUGUUACUUUGAAAAAAUUAGAGUGUUUAAAGCAGGCUAACGCUUGAAUACAUUAGCAUGGAAUAAUGAAAUAGGACGAUCGAUCCUAUUUUGUUGGUUUCUAGGAUUGACGUAAUGAUUAAUAGGGAUAGUUGGGGGCAUUAGUAUUCAAUUGUCAGAGGUGAAAUUCUUGGAUUUAUUGAAGACUAACUACUGCGAAAGCAUUUGCCAAGGAUGUUUUCAUUAAUCAAGAACGAAAGUUAGGGGAUCGAAGACGAUCAGAUACCGUCGUAGUCUUAACCAUAAACUAUGCCGACUAGGGAUCGGAUGAUGUUAAUUUUUUAAUGACUCAUUCGGCGCCUUACGGGAAACCAAAGUGUUUGGGUUC
rnacentral:rRNA from 1 species